AACGAACGUUAGCGGCACGCUUAACACAUGCAAGUCGAGCGAGAAUCCCUUCUGGGAGGACAGCGGCGCACGGGUGAGUAACACGUAGAUAAUCUGCCCUCGAGUGGUGGAUAACGUUCCGAAAGGAACGCUAAUACAGCAUAACACCACGGCUCUUCGGAGUUUUUGGCCAAAGCGGAGGACCUCUUCGGAGGCUUCGCGCUUGAGGAUGAGUCUGCGGCCCAUCAGCUAGUUGGUAGUGUAAAGGACUACCAAGGCUAAGACGGGUAGCUGGUCUGAGAGGAUGAACAGCCACACUGGAACUGAGACACGGUCCAGACUCCUACGGGAGGCAGCAGUGGGGAAUCUUGCGCAAUGGGCGAAAGCCUGACGCAGCGAUGCCGCGUGAGCGAUGAAGGCCUUCGGGUUGUAAAGCUCUGUGGAUGGAGACGAAUAAGUCGUAGCUAAUACCUGCGAUGAUGACGGUAUCCAUUUAGCAAGCACCGGCUAACUCUGUGCCAGCAGCCGCGGUAAGACAGAGGGUGCAAACGUUGUUCGGAAUUACUGGGCGUAAAGCGCGUGUAGGCGGCUUUGUAAGUCGGAUGUGAAAUCCGCGGCUCAACCGUGAAGUGCACCGAAACUGCAAGGCUAGAGUAUCGGAGAGGAAGGUGGAAUGCUUGGUGUAGAGG
rnacentral:rRNA from 1 species